rnacentral:snoRNA from 1 species
AUCCUUUUGUAGUUCAUAAGCAUGAUGAUUGGGUGUUCAUGCUGUUGUGUGACGUGUGCCACCCUUAAACCUUGUUACAGCACCGGCACAUUACCCGUCUGACG